rnacentral:rRNA from 1 species
GAUCCUGGCUCAAGACGAACGCUGGCGGCGCGCCUAACACAUGCAAGUCGAACGAGUGAGAGAAAGCUUGCUUUCUCGGGCGAGUGGCGAACGGGUGAGUAACGCGUGAGGAACCUGCCUCAAAGAGGGGGACAACAGUUGGAAACGACUGCUAAUACCGCAUAAGCCCACGGCUCGGCAUCGAGCAGAGGGAAAAGGAGCAAUCCGCUUUGAGAUGGCCUCGCGUCCGAUUAGCUAGUUGGG